ensembl:lncRNA
GGUCUGAGUGAGCAGCGACGCUGGAGGGGCAGAGGGAAAGGAAAUUACCCUGAAGAAGUGGGCCGUGAUGUCAUGGGUCAGGGCGCCGUCGUGGGAGAAGUUUCUCUGCACAACGGUAGAGGCCAGUGAGGAAGCACGCACGGGACAGGGCGGGCAGCUGCUGGGGGCUCCAGCACGUAAGGACACGCGGCAGGAUGGCACCGCCACGAUCCAUGGAGGGCUGGCUCCGUGUGGCUUCGCGUCCACCCCCGUGCCCGCCAGCCGUGGCGCAAACCCCAUGGGCCCAGGCGGGCGGGCCAGGUGCUGUCCCUGCCGUGUCCUCCCUGGCUGCUUUCACAGGCGUUCUCAAGGCUCGAAGGGAAACAGCCUUUAGAACGAACUUAAAGAAAAUCUCAUCUCAUUUCUGCUGCUUCCCCAGUUACCUUUUAAAGUUCCACACAAAUGAACAGAACCUCAGGUCAAGCUCUAGUCACGUGUGCAUUUCUAGAAAGCGGGAACCCAUCUUUGGUGUAGAAGCCGUUCCCCUGCAGUGGGCAGGGGAGCACUUAUGCACGGCACCUCCCUGACCCUGACCGCAUGCAGGUCACAGGGAUGUCACCCUUUGGAGCCCCUGACAAGAGAUAGGGCACCAUCUGGCUUCCGUGCCCCCAAAAGAAACCGACGGAGGGGAGGCAAGGCGGGCCGGAUGGUCUGCACAUGCAGGGCCCAAGCUGGUCACCCUGGGGAAGGUUCCGUGAAGGAGUCGUGCUCCGGAGGACGAGGCUGCCCAGUCGCUAGCCUCGCAGGCCGGUGCCGAGCCAGGUGAAGGGCUCACCCGCAGCUCCGAGCGCCACGUCCUACCCUCAGAGACCCGGCGUGGGCAGGCAGGACACGCGCCGAGGCGUUGGCUCCACGUGACCACGGAUGUGCUGGUGAGUUUUCCAGAGCCAGCCUGAGGUGCCCACGUAGCCCCUCGACCCCACACCCCAGCUCACUUGCCCUGCGCCUACCAGCUCCGAGUUGACCAAGUGGAAGAAGUCAUCGCAGUCGGGGGCGGCCAGCUGCUCCAAGCGGGGGCUGCCGACAAGCACGGAGGGGGGCAGGCCGAGGAGGAUGCUGGGAGGAGGGAGGCAUGGACGGUGACCCCGAGAGCUACGCUCGGAGCGCAGCCAACCCUCCCAGCCCGCUCGGAACUGGCCCUGGUCUGCGGCCUGUUGCCCUGCUGGGCCGACGGACACUCACUGUGUGUCCCCAGACCAGGUGUGAUGUUGCACGAUGACCAAGGGCAGGGAGCAGCGUGUUAACCAACCAGUUCACGAGACCGGGAAGGACAGCACGGCUCGGCCGUGAUGCAGUGAGGACCCUGAGCGCACAUUCCACACGAGGUCUUUGAACUGAGGGGUUUCUGAAGCCCAGGAGGAGAACUUUCACCCCCAGUUGCUUUCACACCUCUAGACCCUGCUCUCCAGGGGGACCCGGGGAAGAUGCCGACCAGGCUGGGGCGGGGGCCAGAGACGAGCGACUAGUGGGAAGAGAAGCCAAAGUGAAGACAGACCCUGGGGCACAGCCGUGUUACCGUUUGCACGUGAGCAGCUCCUGCUGUCGCCGCAGGCGGCUGGCCACGUCCCACCCUCGAGCCAGGGCCUGGAGGCGUCUGCAGAAAACCCCAAAGACGACGUGGCCCCGGGGAGCAGCAUGGCCGAGGGGCGCUGGGCCCUGCUCCAGGUCAGCAGCCAUCUCCUGGAAGAGAGCACGGCCAGAGGCAGAAAUCCUGGGGCCUCUCACUCCCAGCAGGGCCCUGAGGUGGGGCCAGCAGAGUGAGUGCAACUAGCCUUUUCACUUGGAAAUGACUGAACAACUGCAGGAUUUUGCAAAAAUGAAAAAAGAACAGUGCAAAGAACACCCUUCCCCAGACUCCCCCUGGCUAACGCUUCACCCGUUUGUCACCUGCUCCCCUGUGCAGGUGGGGGUGUGCGCACAGCCCGAGGGUGAAACACACAAGUGAGGCACGCACACAGCCUGCAGGCACACGUGUGUUCUCCCCCCAGAUGCCGAGCACCCGUCUCAUCAUCGCCCCGUCACGUGUGACCCCAACCCCACGUCUCCCGCUGUGUCUGCCCUCACAGGUCACUUUCUUCCACGUUCAGUUAUGACAGACGUGGAGGACAAAGGUCAAGAUGAGGGCUUGGGGGACUCGGGUCCUUUCUCUGUGGGAUGCUUUACUCAUUUUAAAGUACAUUUUCCCAGUGCUCCAGACCACAUCCUCCAUGAUUUCUCUUUCAUUCCCCACACGUUCUAAAGUCAGGCACUUUUUUAAGAGUGAAAGCGGGAACGCCGACUCCUAUUAUACAAAAUCGCACGUACUCUUCCAAAGUUACAGACCCCCAGUGCACACAGUGGACGAGGAUGCAGGAUGGGGCCUUGCGCUGCACUCUGACCCCAGAGUUCACGCUCAAGAGAUCUGGGGAGAGCAGCAUGCUGACAGAAACGCCCCUUUCACUUCAACGUGAGAAACACGGUUUCUGCACUCUCCUAAAAGUGCUCCUGCCUUGCUGCCAAGUGAGCCGGGAGACGGGAGAGUCUCCCAGCCUCCGACACGUGCAAACUCCUGAUCCUCGGCCAAGUGGAGGGUCAUUUAUGUCAAUCCUCAGAGCCUGACCUCCCAACGCAGCACCAGGAGCUACAAAGCAGAGAACAGGAGUAGCAGCCACGCUGCUGCCGAAGUCAGUAUCUUUACUUCCUGUUCUCAAAUUUUAAACGUCCUGAAGCCUGGAGAUGCUUCCCGUAUUACAGUUUUCGCUUCCGUGUUCCUGUGAUGUUCACGGCGAGGUGAGUUCACAGAGCACGUGGCCUCUCUGGUCUCAGCCAUUGUGUGUGUGACUCAAGCUUUCGUUCUGGUCAGGUUCCUUAGGACUCACUGGAUAUUCAUAAUAAAUACCUUAAUAGCACGCGGCUUAAACGCAGUGGACACUCUUGAGUUUUACAUCUUCUAACUCACCUGCAAUCUGGAAAAAAUAUCGCGAUUUCCUGUGCAGCCACCAAGAACCAAAUCAGAAUUCUCUGAGUGAUCAUAACUCCUUGAACUGAAAUGAAAACACAGUGAAAGCCUCCUAAGUGUCUCCUAACUGUGCUGGGCUGCCUGCUUCUCCUCCUGCCUCCAGAGUGGCCUGUGGUCACAGGGCCAGGAGGUACCCGGAGACUGCAGGACACUCACCGUGUGCCCACAGCCGCAAAAAGCCAGCAACCAACUCAAGCAACACAUCAAAACAAUUACAUGCCACGACCAAGUGGGAUUUAUCCCAAGAAUGCAAGGUUGGCUCAACAUGCAAGAAUCAAUUAAUGCAAUAAACAUAUGAGUAGAAUAAAAACCGAAAACCACACAGAUAAAGCAUUAAAUUAAAUGCUACACCCUUUCAUGAUU